GCGGAUAUUUCAGAGCCCAGAUUAUGAAGUUGUUUGGUGAGUAUGCUUUUGUUGUUCAUUGUUUGAUGGUGCAAUUUCAGGGACAAUCGAUAUAUGCACAUCGCGUGUACCUGUUUUCAGUAACCAAAGAGGAGGCUGAUGCUUCCGCGGAAAGCUCGAGCAAGAGAUUUUCCUGCCCCAAAUGCCUAUGGACAGCAGUUUAGAAGGCGACACCGCAGCGAAUGGGGAAUCCUACAGAAAGCACAAAAGACAAAAACAAGUGCCAAAAUCUCGUGUGAAGGAUACCGAGGCACAGUUUAGGAAAAAACAGCUGGACCUUUUGUUUCCUCCUGAAGCAUGAAAGGGAGGAGAUUGUCUUCGGCAAGAAGUUGUGAGGCUGCGCAAGAUCUUCAAAGCAGAUUUCUUCAGCCACUCCUCGCC